rnacentral:lncRNA from 1 species
AUGCAUGUCUCCCAGUGUUUCCAUGUUGUAGUUAAAGCUCCUCAAAUUAAGAAGACAGCUUUGGAACUCCUGACAGGGGACAUGUGGCCAGAAAUAAGAAUCAGUAAAGGUGGAGACUGCUGCACAAGGGGCCCACUGACAAGUCCCCGAGGUGGAUGACGUCACUGACAAAUUAACAUUAGAGGUCUGCAGAAAGAAGAUGCAGUUACACAAUCUCCUUCAUUCUACAGUACACCUACCCUCAAAGAGUGGGAUUUGCAAAGAUGUCAUAACCUCUUGAUACUCAUCAUAACAUUUUUUUAAAAUCAGAGGCAUUAUUGGGUUAACAUGAUAAUCUCCAGUUCUGUUCAUUUUCUCAUACAUGUCACAAUUUCAUGUUUUGUGAUGGCUAAACAAAAUUCAAUUCUAUAUAUAUUAUAUUUUCUUUAUCCAUUCAUCAGUUGAAUGAUCUCUACAUAGGGCUCCAUUUCCUGGCUAUUGAGAAUAGUGAAGAGAUAAACAUGGAUGCAAAGGCAUCUCUGGUGUACAAUGAUUAAGAGUCCAGUAGGUAUAUACUCAGACUCAGAAAACCAAGCAAUCUCAGCCUUUCCUGUUAUACAUAACUAAGAAUGGAAUGUAUAUAUUUGUGUGAGAGGAGAGGAUGAAGGGAACAUACAGUUAGAUGGUCAAUGAGGUGGGAAGAAUAUUGGGCAAGGGGAUGGAUAAGAACAAUGUAAUACAGAUAUUCGGGAAACUGCUAUAAGGAAACUCAAUAAUUUGGAUACUAACUACUAUUUGAGAAAAACAAAAGAAAAAUUUAGAGUCGAUAUUAUUAGUAAGAUGAAAGAUGCGGCCAGGCAUUGGUGGCACACGCCUUUAAUCCCAGCACUCAGAAGACAGAGGCAGGUGGAUCUCUGUGAGUUUGAGACCAGCCUGGUCUACAAGAGCUAGUUCCAGGACAGCCUCCACAGCCACAGAGAAACCCUGUCUCAAAAAACAAACAAACAAAAACAACAAAAAAGAUGAAAGAUGAGAAAUCACACACGGUUAUCAGCACAGCUUUAUUUACAUGGAUUUUUUAAGUGAUCGAUACUAAUGGUUGGAGAAUAUAAGAAGAAAAUGGAAACUCAUAGGUAAAUGAAUUUUACUAUGUGAACCCUGAGAAGGAUUGCACUAUAUC